AGCAACAAAUGCCCUGCUUCCAGGAAAAGCCUCUAAGCAUCAGGUAACAUCAAAUCGUACCCCAAACCGACACAGGUGGUCAGGUAGAGAAUACCAAGGCGCUUGAGAGAACUCGGGUGAAGGAACUAGGCAAAAUGGUGCCGUAACUUCGGGAGAAGGCACGCUGACACGUAGGUGAAGUGAUUUACUCAUGGAGCUGAAGUCAGUCGAAGAUACCAGCUGGCUGCAACUGUUUAUUAAAAACACAGCACUGUGCAAACACGAAAGUGGACGUAUACGGUGUGACGCCUGCCCGGUGCCGGAAGGUUAAUUGAUGGGGUCAGCGCAAGCGAAGCUCCUGAUCGAAGCCCCGGUAAACGGCGGCCGUAACUAUAACGGUCCUAAGGUAGCGAAAUUCCUUGUCGGGUAAGUUCCGACCUGCACGAAUGGCGUAAUGAUGGCCAGGCUGUCUCCACCCGAGACUCAGUGAAAUUGAACUCGCUGUGAAGAUGCAGUGUACCCGCGGCAAGACGGAAAGACCCCGUGAACCUUUACUAUAGCUUGACACUGAACAUUGAGCCUUGAUGUGUAGGAUAGGUGGGAGGCUUUGAAGUGUGGACGCCAGUCUGCAUGGAGCCGACCUUGAAAUACCACCCUUUAAUGUUUGAUGUUCUAACGUGGACCCGUAAUCCGGGUUGCGGACAGUGUCUGGUGGGUAGUUUGACUGGGGCGGUCUCCUCCUAAAGAGUAACGGAGGAGCACGAAGGUUGGCUAAUCCUGGUCGGACAUCAGGAGGUUAGUGCAAUGGCAUAAGCCAGCUUGACUGCGAGCGUGACGGCGCGAGCAGGUGCGAAAGCAGGUCAUAGUGAUCCGGUGGUUCUGAAUGGAAGGGCCAUCGCUCAACGGAUAAAAGGUACUCCGGGGAUAACAGGCUGAUACCGCCCAAGAGUUCAUAUCGACGGCGGUGUUUGGCACCUCGAUGUCGGCUCAUCACAUCCUGGGGCUGAAGUAGGUCCCAAGGGUAUGGCUGUUCGCCAUUUAAAGUGGUACGCGAGCUGGGUUUAGAACGUCGUGAGACAGUUCGGUCCCUAUCUGCCGUGGGCGCUGGAGAACUGAGGGGGGCUGCUCCUAGUACGAGAGGACCGGAGUGGACGCAUCACUGGUGUUCGGGUUGUCAUGCCAAUGGCACUGCCCGGUAGCUAAAUGCGGAAGAGAUAAGUGCUGAAAGCAUCUAAGCACGAAACUUGCCCCGAGAUGAGUUCUCCCUGAGACUUAGAGUCUCCUGAAGGAACGUUGAAGACGACGACGUUGAUAGGCCGGGUGUGUAAGCGCAGCGAUGCGUUGAGCUAACCGGUACUAAUGAACCGUGAGGCUUAACCUUACAACGCCGAAGGUGUUU
rnacentral:rRNA from 1 species